rnacentral:rRNA from 1 species
GUGCCAGCAGCCGCGGUAAUACGGAGGGGGUUAGCGUUGUUCGGAAUUACUGGGCGUAAAGCGCACGUAGGCGGAUCAAUAAGUUAGAGGUGAAAUCCCAGGGCUCAACCCUGGAACUGCCUUUAAUACUGUUGGUCUAGAGUUCGAGAGAGGUAAGUGGAAUUCCGAGUGUAGAGGUGAAAUUCGUAGAUAUUCGAAGGAACACCAGUGGCGAAGGCGGCUUACUGGCUCGAUACUGACGCUGAGGUGCGAAAGUGUGGGGAGCAAACAGGAUUAGAUACCCUGGUAGUCC